UUAAGUUCAGCGGGUAGUCCUACCUGAUUUGAGGUCAAAUUGUCAAGGUAUUGUCCUCGCGGACGGUUAGAAGCGAGUCUGAACCUCGUCCACGGCGUAGAUAAUUAUCACACCAAUAGACGGAAGUUCAGUAUGAACUCGCUAAUGCAUUUCAGGGGAGCAGACCGCCGUGAGGCAGCCUGCACAAACCCCCACAUCCA
rnacentral:misc_RNA from 1 species